rnacentral:rRNA from 1 species
GAUCCUGGCUCAGAUUGAACGCUGGCGGCAGGCCUAACACAUGCAAGUCGAACGGUAACAGGAAGAAGCUUGCUUCUUUGCUGACGAGUGGCGGACGGGUGAGUAAUGUCUGGGAAACUGCCUGAUGGAGGGGGAUAACUACUGGAAACGGUAGCUAAUACCGCAUAACGUCGCAAGACCAAAGAGGGGGGACCUUCGGGCCUCUUGCCAUCGGAUGUGCCCAGAUGGGAUUAGCUAGUAGGUGGGUAACGG